UUAGGUUGGUGCAAAAGUCACUGCGGUUUUUGCCAUUGAAAGUAAUGGCAAAAACCACAGUGACUUUUGCACCAACGUAAUA
rnacentral:miRNA from 1 species